GAUGAACGCUGGCGGCGUGCCUAAUACAUGCAAGUCGAGCGAACGGACGAGAAGCUUGCUUCUCUGACGUUAGCGGCGGACGGGUGAGUAACACGUGGAUAACCUACCUAUAAGACUGGGAUAACUUCGGGAAACCGGAGCUAAUACCGGAUAAUAUUUUGAACCGCAUGGUUCAAAAGUGAAAGACGGUUUUGCUGUCACUUAUAGAUGGAUCCGCGCCGCAUUAGCUAGUUGGUAAGGUAACGGCUUACCAAGGCAACGAUGCGUAGCCGACCUGAGAGAGUGGUCGGCCACACUGGAACUGAGACACGGUCCAGACUCCUACGGGAGGCAGCAGUAGGGAAUCUUCCGCAGUGGGCGAAAGCCUGACGGAGCAACGCCGCGUGAGUGAUGAAGGUCUUCGGAUCGUAAAACUCUGUUAUUAGGGAAGAACAAAUGUGUAAGUAACUAUGCACGUCUUGACGGUACCUAAUCAGAAAGCCACGGCUAACUACGUG
rnacentral:rRNA from 1 species